GACGAACGCUGGCGGCGUGCUUAACACAUGCAAGUCGAGCGGUAAGGCCCCUUCGGGGGUACACGAGCGGCGAACGGGUGAGUAACACGUGAGCAAUCUACCCAUCACAUCGGGAUAACUCCGGGAAACCGAAGCUAAUACCGAAUACGACCACCUCAGGCAUCUGAUGGUGGUGGAAAGUUCCGGCGGUGAUGGAUGAGCUCGCGGCCUAUCAGCUUGUUGGUGGGGUAACGGCCCACCAAGGCUUCGACGGGUAGCCGGCCUGAGAGGGUGACCGGCCACACUGGGACUGAGACACGGCCCAGACUCCUACGGGAGGCAGCAGUGGGGAAUAUUGGACAAUGGGCGAAAGCCUGAUCCAGCAACGCCGCGUGAGGGAUGACGGCCUUCGGGUUGUAAACCUCUUUCAGCAGGGACGAAGCGAAAGUGACGGUACCUGCAGAAGAAGCACCGGCCAACUACGUGCCAGCAGCCGCGGUAAUACGUAGGGUGCGAGCGUUGUCCGGAAUUAUUGGGCGUAAAGGGCUCGUAGGCGGUCUGUCGCGUCGGGAGUGAAAACUCAGGGCUUAACCCUGAGCCUGCUUCCGAUACGGGCAGACUAGAGGUAUGCAGGGGAGAAUGGAAUUCCUGGUGUAGCGGUGAAAUGCGCAGAUAUCAGGAGGAACACCGGUGGCGAAGGCGGUU
rnacentral:rRNA from 1 species